ACUUACGAGCUCAGUUGGUCAGAGCGCUGCACCGGAAUCGCAGGGCCGUAGGUUCAAUUCCUACCAGAGGA
rnacentral:tRNA from 1 species